GAAGACGAGAGUGCCUUCUUGAGGGCCUACUGUGCAGAGCGGGCACGCAGCCAGAGGCCAAGGCAACAGUCAGCAAUCAGGCUGCUCUCCAGCCACUUCUAACAGCAACUCAACAUUUCGCCUGAGAGACCUCCUGGCAGAAAACCCCGAAGCAGCCUAGCUGUUCACGGAGAGAGGAGCAGAUGAAAAGAGGCAAUACAUGUAUACAACGGAAUGUUACUCGGCCAUAAAAGGUGAAAUAAUGCCAUGUGCAGCAUCAUGGAUGGGCCUAAAGAUUAUCACACUAAGUGAAGUGAGUCAGACGGAGAAAGAUAAAAUUUACAUGGUAGCACUUAUACGUGGAAUCUAAAGAAAAUGAUACAAAUGAACCUCUUACAGAACAGAAAUGGACCCACAGAUGGAGAAAGCAAACCUACACUUGUCAAAAGGGGCAAGUGGGGGAAAGGAUGAAUUAGGAGUUUGGGAUUAAAAAAUAAACAUCACUAUCAUAUAAAACAGUUUACCAACAAGAACAUCCUGUAUAACACAGGGAACUUUACUCAACAUUUUGUAUGGAGUUGGCCAAAGCAUUUAUUCAGGUUUUUAAACCACCCCCCCCCAAAAAAAAAAGUCCCAAUGAAUGCUUUGGCCAACCCCGUAAUAUCCCAUAAAGGAAAAUAAUCUGAAAAAAGAACAAAUGUAUGUAUAUAUAUGCAUACACAAACACAUAAAACUGAGUGUAUAUAUAUAUACACACACACAACUGAAUUACUUUUCACAAUAUUGUAAACCAACGAUACUUCCAUUUAAAAAAGGAAAUCUCAUGGUGAUACUCAGUAACUUUAAAGGGGAGAUUCCAAGAAAUGCAGUGUUUAUUCCUUCCUUGCUGUCCCAUGAGGCUCAGAAAGCAAAUCAGGCUGCACGUUGGCCACCAGGUCACUGGUGACCUCUCUGGGAGCCGCUACCUUUGUAAGUCCAUAAGUAAUUCUUUUUCCUACUAGGAAAUGCUCCUCUCGCAUCUAUUAGUGUUUCCCAUAUGCCACCGAUCAUUUUAUCCAACAGGCCACUUGGUUUGUCAAGGACUCAUUUACAAUGAAAUCUACAUAUGGAAGUGCCAUCAGCUGCUUGAGAAGAGAGACCUUUACUUCUGAAAAUCAGCCUGAGCAAGACACUUCCGCAGGUACCUUGGAGGGACGAGGGGUGGAUGGCAGGUACACACGAGUCAGACACCGGAUGCAAAGGUCACUCAUCGGGCUCAAGACUCCAGGUGAGUGGCAGUAAGAAGACUCGGAACCAGCACCC
rnacentral:lncRNA from 1 species